GGAGAGGUCGCAUAGCGGACUAGUGCGGUCGUCUUGAAAACGACUGUGGCGCAAGCCACCGUGGGUUCGAAUCCCACCCUCUCCG
rnacentral:tRNA from 1 species